AUACGUAGGUGGCAAGCGUUGUCCGGAUUUACUGGGUGUAAAGGGCGUGCAGCAGGGACGGCAAGUCAGAUGUGAAAUCCAUGGGCUUAACCCAUGAACUGCAUUUGAAACUGUCGUUCUUGAGUACCGGAGGGGCAAUCGGAAUUCCUAGUGUAGCGGUGAAAUGCGUAGAUAUUAGGAGGAACACCAGUGGCGAAGGCGGAUUGCUGGACGGCAACUGACGGUGAGGCGCGAAAGUGUGGGGAGCAAACAGGAUUAGAUACCCUGGUAGUCCACACUGUAAACGAUGGAUACUAGGUGUGCGGGGACUGACCCCCUGCGUGCCGGCGUUAGCACAAUAAGUAUCCCACCUGGGGAGUACGAUCGCAAGGUUGAAACUUAAAUGAAUUGGCGGGG
rnacentral:rRNA from 1 species